CCUAAGCUUCUUCAGCUGCGAGAUGAGGGGUUAGAAAAUCCGAUGGAGAUCAUUAGAAGUGAGACAGAGAAGAAAAUGGUGGAAGAACCGACGACGGUGCAGGUGGAGGAGGUAGUGGGAUCCCUAGCAUAACAGGGUGCCCCGAGAAUUCAAUCGGAGAUUUUUAUAAUUAUGAUGAUGAAUUGUUUAUUCUGGAAUUGCCGGGGAGCAAAUAAACCUAAUUUCAGACGGUCUAUUAGGUAUAUUCUGAAGAAAUAUCAAACUGAUUUUCUGGCAUUGUUCGAAACUCAUGCGAGUGGAGAUAAAGCAAUGAAGAUUUGCCACAACCUGGGGUUUGACAACUCUUUUCGUGUAGAUGCUAUUGGUCAAAGUGGUGGAAUUUGGAUUUUAUGGAGAGAUCAAGCGGGAGUGAUUACGGUGUUGGAAUCAUCGGAUCAGUUUGUGCAUGCGAGGGUGAUGAUUGGGACUGAGAUUAUACAUAUUAUUGCGGUCUAUGCGGCUCCUACGGUUAGUCGAAGGAGUGGUCUCUCGGGACAGUUGAAGCGGGUGUUAGAGAAUAUUGAUGAACCGGUUAUAGUGGGUGGUGAUUUCAACACCAUUUUAAGAUUGGAUGAGUGAUCUGGAGGGAAUGGUAGACUUUCACCAGACUCUAUGGCGUUUGGGGAUUGGAUUAAUGAUUUAGCUCUGGUGGAUAUGGGAUUCAGAGGAAAUACCUUUACUUGGAGGAGAGGUAAAGAUACACAGCACUUUGUGGCGAAGCGACUUGAUAGAGUUUUGUGUAGUGCGCAGACUCGCGUGAGAUGGCAGGAGGCAGUAGUCACUCAUCUUCCUUUUUAGCUUCAGAUCAUGCACCAAUGUAUGUACAAAUGGAGCCGGAGCGGAAAGGAGAUCCGAAAAGGAGACCGUUUAGAUUCAAAGCUGCGUGGCUUAAGCAUGAUGGUUUCAAGGAGCAACUAUCAACAUCUUGGAACAGUGAGAUGAGUACUCCAGAGGCACUGGUGUCUUUGAAGGAGAAACUUAAGAAAUGGAAUAAAAAGAUAUUUGGAGAUGUGAUCAAACGAAAAGAGAAACUGCUCGGGGAUAUAAAAGAAGUUCAGGAGGAACUGGAGAGAAACCCAUCAGAUGGUCUGUUGGCAAGGGAGGAGACAUUACAAAAAGAGUUUGAUGUUGUCCUUGAACAGGAGGAGGUGCUCUGGUACCAAAAAUCACGAGAGAAAUGGAUAGUGCUUGGAGAUAGAAACACGACGUACUAUCACACGAGUACCAUUGUGAGAAGAAAGAGGAAUAGAAUAGAGAUGCUGAAGAGUGAAGAUGGCCACUGGAUUGACCAGUCAGAACAGUUGGAGCAACUAGCAAUGAACUACUAUAAGAGACUGUAUUCAACUGAGGAUAUAUCUCUCGAUAUUCGUGUAGAUGCUAUUGGUCAAAGUGGUGGAAUUUGGAUUUUAUGGAGAGAUCAAGCGGGAGUGAUUACGGUGUUGGAAUCAUCGGAUCAGUUUGUGCAUGCGAGGGUGAUGAUUGGGACUGAGAUUAUACAUAUUAUUGCGGUCUAUGCGGCUCCUACGGUUAGUCGAAGGAGUGGUCUCUCGGGACAGUUGAAGCGGGUGUUAGAGAAUAUUGAUGAACCGGUUAUAGUGGGUGGUGAUUUCAACACCAUUUUAAGAUUGGAUGAGUGAUCUGGAGGGAAUGGUAGACUUUCACCAGACUCUAUGGCGUUUGGGGAUUGGAUUAAUGAUUUAGCUCUGGUGGAUAUGGGAUUCAGAGGAAAUACCUUUACUUGGAGGAGAGGUAAAGAUACACAGCACUUUGUGGCGAAGCGACUUGAUAGAGUUUUGUGUAGUGCGCAGACUCACGUGAGAUGGCAGGAGGCAGUAGUCACUCAUCUUCCUUUUUAGCUUCAGAUCAUGCACCAAUGUAUGUACAAAUGGAGCCGGAGCGGAAAGGAGAUCCGAAAAGGAGACCGUUUAGAUUCAAAGCUGCGUGGCUUAAGCAUGAUGGUUUCAAGGAGCAUUCACCUAAAUCUCCCUAAACUUAAUAUGAGCCAAAUUUAACUAAAACAAAAAUCGUUUCGUGAACACAUUUAAUCAUUUAAUUAGGUUUUAUUUUCUGUGGGGUCAAAAGAGAAAAUUCAGUGGCUAAAUUUUCAAAAAUCAUAUCAUUUUCAUGUAAAAUUUUACAAUAAAUGUGUAAUAGAAAAUUUGCGAAUAUCGUUCUAUAUAAAUUAAUGUCUAAGAGAUUUUUAUAUUAGUCCCCAAGCUAGAUAAGUGCGGGUUUAUAAUCAAUUCAAAUGGAACUCUGAAGAUGUUUUACGAACAAGUUUCUGAUAAGAACUUCGGGUAUGAACAAUUGAAAUUUGGCAGAUUGUACUUGUGUCAGAUGCUCAUCACUUGCAAAAAAAUAAAGAAGAGGAGAAUGUACAACUUGUCUCACAGAAGAAAUGUAAACAGGGUAUGAAAAAUAGACUUAGGCUGAAUCAGUUUCCUCGAAGAAGUUUUUGAACUCAAGAAGCCUUGACGAUUGCCUUCCUGCUUUCCCUUCACCACCAAAUGAAAACACACACAUGACCAAAGAUUUCAGCUGUAUGAAAGGAAGCAUGAGAGUUAAGGAGCAAGGUGAAUAAGGUAAUGUACCUUUGCAGCGUCUUUGAGAGGUCCCCAACACUCAAUCCGAUUGUAUUUAGGUGUGCUUGAAUGGAAAUAAACCCAUACAUAAGCAUCCAUUAGCUCAGGGUUCUCUCUAAACAUGACUGAAUCUCCAUAGAUCACAGCUUUUAGCCCCUAUGAACCACAAUGCCAAAGAGUUUACGACAACUCAUUUCUGCAUUUCUUUUGUACCAAUUAGACCAAAAAAAAAAAAAAAAGAAGGAAGAAAACUAACCAAAGGCAGUUCCUUGGAGAAUAUGUGAUACCUAAGCUCUGCAGCCAUAUCCUGCAAUAAACUAAGCCCACUAACACAACAAUGAAUAUGUAACCGCAACUCGUCAUUCACCUUCUUCCACUCAGCAACCACAUCGUCUUUCUUGUACCAGCCUUCUAGUUGAUCCAGGUUGAUGACGUUUGAGAUGGUUAAGGUCAAGUUAGCGGUGAAGUCACAGUGUGAAAGAAUAUAUGUGCGUGGUGUUAUAAUCCCUCCGCUAGCUUUAGCCUCCAAUAUCUCCCCUAAGAACUCCACUUUGAGCUUUGAGGAAUCAAAGUUUGCUUGUGGAACUAAAAGCCUUACAGCCUAAUUCACAAUCAUUAACAUGAAGAGUUCAAUUUCAUAUAACAGUGAGAUCGAGUUCAGAAGUGAAUCUAUGAUCAGAUAUUUUCGCAAUUCGCCUCUCUCAGUCCACAAAUAUGGGCGAAAAUUUUCAAAAAAAAAAGAAAAAAGAAGAUCUUUGGCUCACCUCGGAAACUAAAGUAUUGUGGGAGAUGCCACCGUCGCUAAUGGCUGAGCUUCGAGGAACCCUAAUUCUUGUCUUCAGGAGCUUGCCGCAGGAACGGUGAUGGUGGCCGAUGAAUUUUCGAUUGGGACAAAACAGAACUGGAUUGUGGUAAUAAGGAAGGAUGUGAGAGGCCAUGAGAGGAAGGAACGUAACAGCAGGGUUAAUGCAUGAGCUGAUCCUUCUUCAUUGUUCAUCUUCCACCAUUUUUGUCUUCGAGAGAGAUAGAUAUGUGGGAGAGCAGAUGUUAUUAUUCAAAGAUACACAGCCACAAACUGAGUUGCGGAGCUUUUUUCUCCACACAAUCAACAAUUUACAAUUCAUUUGAGAUUUUCUCCAAAUAUUAUUAUCUUUUCUUAAUAGGUUACUAGUAAGACCCGUGCCUUGAGGAUGAUAAAAUAUUUAUUUAAAAACUUAUAUUUUUAUAUUGUAAAAUCUGAUUAUUUCUGAGGGUCUUUGCGGAUCUGGUUUAAUUCGGUUCGAUUCGGACUGGAUUUUUGCGGGCCUGGUUCAGGUUUGAGUUCACAUAACCUAUUUAAAUUUUUUCUAAAAUUAAAGUUUUCAUAUACUUUAAAUUUUUUAAAAUUUUAAAAUAAAAAUAAUAUAUACCAUAUAAAUUUGAAUAAUAUAUGCCAAAAUACUUAAACUUAACAUAAAAAUUGGUUUAGUUUAAAUAUUUGGAUAAAAAAUCAAUAGAUAUUUUAAGUAUUUUAGGUAUUUUAAGUAUCGUUUAGCUAUUUAAAACAUGUACUUAUAACUAUUUGUAUAUAUUUCCAAGUAUUUUGAACAACUUAUAAACAUCUUAUAUAUUUUUUAUAUAUUUUUAGAUAUUAAGUAUUAAAAUAAUUAAUAUAUUUAAGUAUAUAAAUCUUGUUCGGAUAUAUUCGGAUAUCCGAAAUAUUUCAGAUCGGGUUUGUUAUAGUUCUCUAGAUACCAAAGUUUUGAACCCAUUCGGAUAUCUAACCAAUUUUGGUUAAAGUUCAGUACUAUUUUUUGGAUAGGCUUUGGUUCGGUUUUUUGGAUUCAAAUUUUUUUGCCCAAUCCUAUAUUUUUAUUGCUACAAAAUUUUAAACGAAAAUGAUUUUGGUUAAUAUUGAUUUUGGGUAUUAAACAAUUUUUAAACCAAAACACAUUUUACUAUGUACGUGACUCAUUUAGUUAAUCAUUAAAAAACUGUUCUAUGCCCAUUUAAAGAAAACAAUGGCCUGAACUUUAAAAAUGCUACCAUUUCAAAUUGUAAAUCGACACUUUCAAAUAUUCUAUGUCGGUGUUGUGAAGAAUAGAAAGGAGAUUAGGGUUAGGAAAUCAAAUUUGUUGUGCAAUUGAUGUUCUCGCAAAGUAAUUUCAAUAGUUUCUAAAUAAAUCUUAGUUGUAUCGAUCUCUCGUAAGAUUUUUGAACAAUAUUAAUUAAUAAAAUCUUGCACUUGCUAGAGUAAUGAAUUAUUUCUCAAUUAAUAUAUAGGAAAUUAAGGUAAUCACAUAAAUCAACAUAAUACCUCUUGUUUAUUUAUAGAAAUAAUUUGUCUUUACGAAGAAAGUUGUAUAAUCUCAAAAAAAAUUGUAUCCUAAUAAGGGACUCUUUGAUAACAACAAAGUGUGUUUACGAAGUCAAAAAUAGAAGGACAUACAUAUCCCUCAGUUAUGUCAUCGAUAUGGUAAAUGUGCUGAAAGAACCAUGACAGAGGAAGAUGUUGUCUUGAGAGAAAGUUCAAACAAAAAAUAUGGCAUGAAAAGUAUAAAAGUUUCCCGUUUCCUAAAUCUGAGGAACAUGUCCUCAUGAACCAAAGUGGUCAGUUAAAAGUUUUUUUUUUCUGGUUUCUUAAUUUGAGAUGUGUUAUCUGUUUUGGUUUUUGGAACUGUAGAAUGCUAUAUCUUAUGUGGAAGGGGAAAAAUAAAUACUAUGGAGCUAAAGUAACUAUUAAUGUGUGGGAGCCAAAGAUACAUCAGCAGUACGAGUUCACCUUCUCGCAUAUAUGGCUUCUCAGUGACUUAUUCAGAAAAUAUCUUGAUAGCAUAGAAGCUGGUUGGCAGGUACACUCAGUUAACUUUUAGGGAGCGUGAGUUUGAUUUUCAUUAUCUUUUCUGUAUAAUGAUUUGUGUGUUUUAUUAUAGAUUAGCCGGAUUUAUAUGGUGAAAAACUGACAACAAUACAAAGGCUCUUUAUUUACUGGACUGUAGGUUCUUUUGGAAAAAAAAAUUAUGUUAAUGUUUUUAAAAAUUUGAAGCUUCUUAAAAUAAAUAUAGUAUUAUUUGUAUAAUUACUAUGUCAAAUUGAAAUAUAAAUAAUAAGAAUAUUUCUAUUAUUACAUUUUUUUAAUUAUUUUUGUUAAUAUUGUAUUAUUUAACGAUAGAGAAUAAUGAAAGUUGUUGUCAUUUUAAUCCAAAUCAAAAAUAUUUAUUAACAAUAACAAUAUGAUCUCAGAAUUAUUUCUAUUAUUUUUUGUUUAUAAUAUUAUUUUCAAUACAUAAUAAUUUUAAAUGUUUCAUAAGUUAAUAUAAAUUCAUGUAAAAUAAUUUUUAUAAUAACUUCCCGUCCGUAGGGCGGGCCAUCAAUAUUAAAUGUAAUAUAUGAAUUAUUACCAUAUUCUAAUAAGUUUGCAAAAAAUAUAACUCAACAUUAAAUAAAAUUAUUCAUGUCAUAUUUUUUCGGAAGCCAUGUCAUCAAUUUCAGUAGCCAUGUCAUAUUUGUUUUGUAAAAUUGAUUGUAGAGAUGACAUGUGGCAAAAUCACUUCGCAAAUAUAGUCUAGGGGAUAUGUUUAUGGUAAAUAAAUCAAAAUAAUUAUUUUAUAUGUUUUAUAUGCUAUAUAAUUAUAUUCAUUGAUAGUGACAUAACUAUAUAGUAUUUUUAAUAUAAAUAUUUAUUAUUGAGAUUUCUUACUUAUAUGGUUUUAUUAACAUUUGUAUAAAACUCAAUUUGAGAUAAAAGAGAAUGAGCUGCGAGACUAGGGUUUUGGCGAGAAACGAAACUAGGGCUUUGAAUUCGGAGGAUCAGGAUGCCAUGAUGGAUGUGGGGGAGAGAUCGAGACCGCCAGGAGACCCGCCCGAUAGGGUGACCACAUGGGCAGCAAAGGCGGUGGGUACGACGGCAGGAGGUAUGCCGGUUCCAGAGGCUUUGAUUGAUGAUGUGUUUGUGUCGAGAAGGCUCAGAGUAGAUUUUCCGAAUGGAGAAGAUGGAGAACCAUCGAUCACGAUUGAGAACGAGGUACUUGAAGCAAUGAACGGGAUGUGGAAGCAGUGUAUGAUUGUUAGGGUUUUGGGGAGGAAUGUUCUGAUCUCUGCCUUGAGUAGGAAGCUAAGGGAAUUAUGGAGUCCGAAGGGAUCGAUGUAUGUGAUGGACCUACCUCGACAGUUCUUCAUGGUCCGUUUUGAGAAGGAGGAUGAAUAUCUGGAGGCAUUAACAGGAGGACCAUGGAGGGCUUUCGGAAGUUACCUCAUGGUGAGAGCCUGGUCACCGGAGUUCGAUCCGCUAAGAGAUGAUAUCGUUACAACACCGGUCUGGAUCAGAUUAACAAAUAUCCCAGUGAACUUUUAUCACCGAUCGAUCCUUAUGGGAAUUUCUAAGGGGUUGGGCAGGCCGAUCCGUGUGGAUCAAACUACAUUGAACUUCGAAAGGGCUCGUUUUGCGAGAAUUUGUGUGGAGGUGAAUCUAGCUAAACCUUUGAAAGGAACGGUGUUGAUUAAUGGUGAGAAAUACUUCGUAGCGUAUGAGGGACUAUCGGAGAUCUGUUCAAAGUGUGGUAUCUAUGGACACUUGGUACAUGGUUGCCCAAAAACAAUUGCGGAGCGAGUGGCAGCUUUAGCAAUACAGAAGGAGAGGUCAGUAUCUGUUGAGCUAGCGUCCAAACAAGGACUACCAGAGCAGGAGGAGGGUUUUAUUAAGGCAAGGGGAUCGAGAAGAGGAGCUCCUCCGUUACUUCGGCCGGUGACUGCCAUGACAAGGGAAUCACAUGAGGAGGUUGAUAGAAAUGGCCGAGGAACAAAACAUAUUAAGGAAACGGAGAAUCUUGUGUUAUCAAACAAGUACGGAAGUCUUGGUACGGAUACAAACACGGGGGAACCGAGUGAGGAAGUGAUCUCUGGUGAGGGAGAUAAGGAGAAUCAGGAGGUAAACAUUCAGAAUGCUAAGGUAAGGGAACCUUACAAGAGAAGAAAUCCUUAGUUUUUGGUAGCAAUGGAAGUAUUAAUUUGAAUGGAGGAAAUAAAGAGAGAGGGAAUGGAAAUAAAAAAAUAAUGGAGGGAGUAAGAGGAAGGCCCAAAAAAUCGACUAACAGGUCGGUUAGAAGAUUGGUUUUUGGGCCGACUAAGGGAGAGACUAACCUGUCGACAUCAGGAAAAUGACUGAGAGUGGAGAAUAUGUAUGCAGGGAGACCUGGUGGAGUUUUCAGAGAUAGUGUGGAGGUCAGGGUUAUGCCUAAGCUUCUUCAGCUGCGAGAUGAGGGGUUAGAAAAUCCGAUGGAGAUCAUUAGAAGUGAGACAGAGAAGCAAAUGGUGGAAGAACCGACGACGGUGCAGGUGGAGGAGGUAGUGGGAUCCCUAGCAUAACAGGGUGCCCCGGGAAUUCAAUCGGAGAUUUUUAUAAUUAUGAUGAUGAAUUGUUUAUUCUGGAAUUGCCGGGGAGCAAAUAAACCUAAUUUCAGACGGUCUAUUAGGUAUAUUCUGAAGAAAUAUCA
rnacentral:lncRNA from 1 species